rnacentral:tmRNA from 1 species
GGGGGCGAUCGGAUUCGACCGGGUGACGUGAAAGGCAGGUUGCGUGUCGAGGAUCGUCGGUUGGCCUCGUUAAUCCUCCGGCGGAAACCUUAAAUGGCAACACUCAGUUCGCCAUGGCUGCCUAACUAAGGUCAGCCCGUCCUGCGGAUGACGCCCGCUAUUCCGCAGGACGACGACAGCGGGCUGGCGGCCGCGCGACGCCUGACCGCGCGGCCGCAAGACACAGUCGGGCUGGGACGACCCGAAGCCUGUCGGCCGGCGCCGGCGAGUCCGAGAAACAAACGACCGAAUACACACGUAGAAGCCUGUCCGGAUCCACCGCGGGACGGGGGUUCAAUUCCCCCCGCCUCCAUUC